GCCGGAGUGGCGAAAUGGCAGACGCAGCGGAUUCAAAAUCCGCCGUGGUAACCCCACGUACCGGUUCAAGUCCGGUCUCCGGCA
rnacentral:tRNA from 1 species